AUUGAACGCUGGCGGCAGGCCUAACACAUGCAAGUCGAGCGAGCGGCGGACGGGUGCGUAAUGUAUGGGGAUCUGCCCGAUAGAGGUGGAUAACUACUGGAAACGGUAGCUAAUACCGCAUACCCUCGGAUGUGCCCAGAUGGGAUUAGCUCGGAGGUGGGGUACAGGCUCACCUAGGCGACGAUCCCUAGCUGGUCUGGGAGGAUGACCAGCCACACUGGAACUGAGACACGGGCCAGACGCCUACGGGAGGCAGCAGUGGGGAAUAUUGCACAAUGGGCGCAAGCCUGAUGCAGCCAUGCCGCGUGUAUGAAGAAGGCCUUCGGGUUGUAAAGUACUUUCAGCGGAGAGGCGUUACCCGCAGAAGAAGCACCGGCUAACUCCGUGCCAGCAGCCGCGGUAAUAC
rnacentral:rRNA from 1 species